rnacentral:rRNA from 1 species
GUUUGAUCCUGGCUCAGGACGAACGCUAGCGGCGUGCUUAACACAUGCAAGUCGAGCGGAAAGGCCCUUCGGGGUACUCGAGCGGCGAACGGGUGAGUAACACGUGAGCAACCUGCCCUUGGCUUUGGGAUAACCCUCGGAAACGGGGGCUAAUACCGGAUAUCCACUUGCUGUCGCAUGGUGGUUGGUGGAAAGUUUUUCGGCCAGGGAUGGGCUCGCGGCCUAUCAGCUUGUUGGUGGGGUGAUGGCCUACCAAGGCGACGACGGGUAGCCGGCCUGAGAGGGCGACCGGCCACACUGGGACUGAGACACGGCCCAGACUCCUACGGGAGGCAGCAGUGGGGAAUAUUGCACAAUGGGCGAAAGCCUGAUGCAGCGACGCCGCGUGAGGGAUGACGGCCUUCGGGUUGUAAACCUCUUUCAGCAGGGACGAAGCGAGAGUGACGGUACCUGCAGAAGAAGCGCCGGCCAACUACGUGCCAGCAGCCGCGGUAAGACGUAGGGCGCGAGCGUUGUCCGGAUUUAUUGGGCGUAAAGAGCUCGUAGGCGGCUUGUCGCGUCGACUGUGAAAACCCGCGGCUCAACCGUGUGGUCUGCAGUCGAUACGGGCAGGCUAGAGUUCGGUAGGGGAGACUGGAAUUCCUGGUGUAGCGGUGAAAUGCGCAGAUAUCAGGAGGAACACCGGUGGCGAAGGCGGGUCUCUGGGCCGAUACUGACGCUGAGGAGCGAAAGCGUGGGGAGCGAACAGGAUUAGAUACCCUGGUAGUCCACGCUGUAAACGUUGGGCGCUAGGUGUGGGGGGCCUCUCCGGUUCUCUGUGCCGCAGCUAACGCAUUAAGCGCCCCGCCUGGGGAGUACGGCCGCAAGGCUAAAACUCAAAGGAAUUGACGG